rnacentral:lncRNA from 10 species
CCAGUAUAUUACCGAGUCUCCGCCGCUCCUACCACCCUCGACUAGUGGCCCCAUUACUAUAUUCAUUGUGUAAAGACUUAGGGAAACGCUCAUAGGUUCAGAGCUUUAUUCUCUCAGUUUUACUUGAGUUUGUUUUGUUACAUAAGUGAUACAAAUUGUAAAGGCUAUCAAGAUGUAAUAAGAAAAACGUGAUAAUAUUCUCUCUUGCCCCAUCACCACUCCGCUCCUUUCAGGCUUCUUCUUCUGCAUUGUACAGGAUCAGGAAGAAAGGAAGGGGAAAAUGUGAAGUGUUUCUCUAUUUAAUGAAUCAGCUGUGGCCAACUUGUUCAGAUGCGUCUGGACUUUCUUCCUUCCAGUGGGUUUGUGGUCUUGCUUGACUUUAGGAGUGAAGCCGCAGACCUUCGCAGUGAGUGUUACAGCUCUUAAAGGUGGCAGUCCGGAGUUGUUCGUUCCUCUCGGUGGGUUCGUGGUCUCACUGACUUCAGG